rnacentral:rRNA from 1 species
CCUGGUUGAUUCUGCCAGUAGUCAUAUGCUUGUCUCAAAGAUUAAGCCAUGCAUGUCUAAGUAUAAGCAAUUAUACCGUGAAACUGCGAAUGGCUCAUUAAAUCAGUUAUCGUUUAUUUGAUAGUACCUUACUACUUGGAUAACCGUGGUAAUUCUAGAGCUAAUACAUGCUAAAACCCCGACUUCGGAAGGGGGUGUAUUUAUUAGAUAAAACGCCCUUCGGGGCUUCUUGGUGAUUCAUGAUAACUUUACGGAUCGCAUGGCCUUGCGCCGGCGACGGUUCAUUCAAAUUUCUGCCCUAUCAACUUUCGAUGGUAAGGUAUUGGCUUACCAUGGUUUCAACGGGUAACGGGGAAUUAGGGUUCGAUUCCGGAGAGGGAGCCUGAGAAACGGCUACCACAUCCAAGGAAGGCAGCAGGCGCGCAAAUUACCCAAUCCCGACACGGGGAGGUAGUGACAAUAAAUACUGAUACAGGGCUCUUUUGGGUCUUGUAAUUGGAAUGAGUACAAUUUAAACCUCUUAACGAGGAACAAUUGGAGGCAAGUCUGGUGCCAGCAGCCGCGGUAAUUCCAGCUCCAAUAGCGUAUAUUAAAGUUGUUGCAGUUAAAGCUCGUAGUUGAAACUUGGGUCUGGCUGGCAGGUCCGCCUCACCGCGUGUACUUGUCCGGCCGGGCCUUCCUUCUGGAGAACCUCAUGCCCUUCACUGGGCGUGUUGGGGACCAGGACUUUUACUUUGAAAAAAUUAGAGUGUUCAAAGCAGGCCUUUGCUCGAAUACGUUAGCAUGGAAUAAUAGAAUAGGACGUGCGGUCCUAUUUUGUUGGUUUCUAGGACCGCCGUAAUGAUUAAUAGGGACAGUCGGGGGCAUCAGUAUUCAAUUGUCAGAGGUGAAAUUCUUGGAUUUAUUGAAGACUAACUACUGCGAAAGCAUUUGCCAAGGAUGUUUUCAUUAAUCAGUGAACGAAAGUUAGGGGAUCGAAGACGAUCAGAUACCGUCCCUCCCUAGGGAGGCAAUGCAUGUGCCAGUGCAUUGUCGACGAACGACUCCCGUGGUCACUAUAAAAAGUGCACUGCAUUUUAGGGAGUCUAAGGCUGCUUCUACGAGUUGGUAGGUACGAUACCAACGCAGAGGGGAGGAGUAACGCUGGAAGUGUGUACAUUUAUGUAAAGCUGUUGACUAUAAGGCACAAUAUGGUUAAUGGUUAUCACACG